rnacentral:rRNA from 1 species
AUGGACGUAAUGGAGAAGCAGCAUGGUGGGUAUGACAAAGUCGGUUGUGUGUCUCGGGACCUAUAUAAUUUUAUUGCUGAGUACAAGAAGCAAAGGAUUGAAGGUUUUGACGCCCAAUACAUGCUGAACUAUAUGGCUGCGCAGGAAGAGAGAGAUUCUGAAUUCUUUUACAGGUACAGCACAGACAGCGAAGGCCAUCUGCAGAACCUUUUUUGGUUAGACGCGCAGUCCCGGUUGGACUAUGAUGCCUUUGGUGGUGUUGUUGUGUUUGACAGCACGUACCGUGUAAACAAAUAUAACUUGCCAUUUGUCCCAUUCAUUGGAUUGAACCACCAUCGCAGCACAGUUGUCUUUGGGGUCGGCAUUGUAUCAGACGAGACCGUGGCAUCAUAUAAGUGGCUGCUCCAUUCAUUUUUGGAGGCGAUGCACCAGAACCAUCCCAGGUCUGUGAUCACUGAUGGGGACCAUGCAAUGGCGAGAGCAAUAUUGCAGGUAUGGUCGAACACAGAUCAUCGGCUGUGUAGCUGGCACAUCGAACAAAAUAUGGUACGCUACCUUCGGAACCGAAGCUCAGCGACUUUAGAAAAUUGA